CAUUUGAAUCUGCGGACCUUCGACUGUAACAUUGUUCUGGGCGGUAGACGUUUAACAGGAGUUUGCUAAGUGGCUAAGUGAUACUUUGUUUUCCUCGGGAGUGGCGUAUUCAGUUCCUCUUCAAUUUAUCGUAGCGUAACUGCAUGGUGGAGGUGUUUACUUAAAACCGUUUAUGACGCGACUAGACUACAGUUGGCGUUUGAGAUUUCCAUCGAUUGUUUUCGCUUCGUUUAUCAAGUUAUAUUAAACUCCGAGAUUCUGCAAGGAUGUUUUUGGUAAGAGUUUCAGCUUAAGAGUUCCUCUUCUAAAGUUAAAGAUUCACUCAUGAUAAAGCUGCUCUUCAACAACAGUUACAGGUCACAACUUGCUGGAGGAACCAGAAUUCAAGAAAAUGUGCAGAUACGGGGCGGACUUGCGAACCUGAAGUGUAAGGCUUAUUUUUCUAGUGAUCCAAGAUGUCAAUAGUUGUAGGCUUCUAUUAAUUUAAUUUCUAAAUAUUCUAUGCUGCGCUUUUCAGUAAGAUCCUGAUAGGUUUGUAAGUUAGGUUCCUCGGAUAUUCAGCUUUCAUAAACCUACCAUUUGUCUGUGUAUUCUUUUUUUCUUAUAAUAAAUAUUGGUCUUAAUUUUCAGUUUUUGACUUCUUCCUCGGUAUUUUUUAGGAAAAAAAGAAUGUGGAAUAUGAUUUAUCAUCCAUAUAAUUGCAGAUAUUGAAGGUCAAAACUUAAUUUAGCAAUAUACACUUGUUUUACAGUUCAUGUGUGAGUGAAUACUAAUGUGAAAGGCCUGUAUCAAAAAUAAAAUUAUAAAUGUAAGCAAAUUAAUGUAA